rnacentral:rRNA from 1 species
CCGCAUAAGCGCACGGUACCGCAUGGUACAGUGUGAAAAACUCCGGUGGUGUGAGAUGGAUCCGCGUCUGAUUAGGUAGUUGGUGAGGUAACGGCCCACCAAGCCGACGAUCAGUAGCCGACCUGAGAGGGUGACCGGCCACAUUGGGACUGAGACACGGCCCAAACUCCUACGGGAGGCAGCAGUGGGGAAUAUUGCACAAUGGGCGAAAGCCUGAUGCAGCAACGCCGCGUGAGUGAAGAAGUAUCUCGGUAUGUAAAGCUCUAUCAGCAGGGAAGAAAAUGACGGUACCUGACUAAGAAGCCCCGGCUAACUACGUGCCAGCAGCCGCGGUAAUACGUAGGGGGCAAGCGUUAUCCGGAUUUACUGGGUGUAAAGGGAGCGCAGACGGCACUGCAAGUCUGAAGUGAAAGCCCGGGGCUCAACCCCGGGACUGCUUUGGAAACUGUAGAGCUAGAGUGCUGGAGAGGCAAGCGGAAUUCCUAGUGUAGCGGUGAAAUGCGUAGAUAUUAGGAAGAACACCAGUGGCGAAGGCGGCUUGCUGGACAGUAACUGACGUUCAGGCUCGAAAGCGUGGGGAGCAAACGGGAUUAGAUACCCUGGUAGUCCACGCCGU